rnacentral:rRNA from 1 species
UACAGAGGUCCCAAGCGUUGUUCGGAUUCACUGGGCGUAAAGGGGGCGUAGGUGGUGGGGUAAGUCGGAUGUGAAAGCUCGGAGCUCAACUCCGAAAUGGCAUUGGAAACUACCUUGCUCGAGGGUUGGAGGGGGGACUGGAAUGCUUGGUGUGGCAGUGAAAUGCGUAGAUAUCAAGCGGAACACCAGUGGCGAAGGCGAGUCCCUGGACAACUCCUGACACUGAGGCACGAAAGCUAGGGGAGCAAACAGG